rnacentral:tRNA from 1 species
CGGGACGUGGCGCAGUCUGGUAGCGCACAUGCUUGGGGUGCAUGGGGUCGGCGGUUCAAAUCCGCCCGUCCCGACCA